GAUGAACGCUGGCGGCGUGCCUAAUACAUGCAAGUCGAGCGAACGGACGAGAAGCUUGCUUCUCUGAUGUUAGCGGCGGACGGGUGAGUAACACGUGGAUAACCUCCCUAUAAGACUGGGAUAACUUCGGGAAACCGGAGCUAAUACCGGAUGAUAUUUUGAACCGCAUGGUUCAAAAGUGAAAGACGGUCUUGCUGUCACUUAUAGAUGGAUCCGCGCUGCAUUAGCUAGUUGGUAAGGUAACGGCUUACCAAGGCAACGAUGCAUAGCCGACCUGAGAGGGUGAUCGGCCACACUGGAACGGAGACACGGUCCAGACUCCUACGGGAGGCAGCAGUAGGGAAUCUUCCGCAAUGGGCGAAAGCCUGACGGAGCAACGCCGCGUGAGUGAUGAAGGUCUUCGGAUCGUAAAACUCUGUUAUUAGGGAAGAACAUAUGUGUAAGUAACUGUGCACAUCUUGACGGUACCUAAUCAGAAAGCCACGGCUAACUACGUG
rnacentral:rRNA from 1 species